AGUAGUUUGACUCGUGCUCGAGGACGACGCUGGCGGCGUGCUUAACACAUGCAAGUCGAACGGGGAUUAUUGGAAUGAGAGCUUCGGCAGGAUUUCUGGUAAUUCUAGUGGCAAACGGGUGAGUAACGCGUAGACAACCUACCGCAAAGAUGGGGACAACAGCUCGAAAGAGCUGCUAAUACCGAAUGUUACAAUAUUUUCGCAUGGGAGUAUUGUUAAAGAUGACCUCUACUUGUAAGUUAUCGCUUUGCGAUGGGUCUGCGUCUGAUUAGCUAGUUGGGGAGGUAACGGCUCACCAAGGCGACGAUCAGUAGCCGAUCUGAGAGGAUGACCGGCCACAUUGGGACUGAGACACGGUCCAGACUCC
rnacentral:rRNA from 1 species